rnacentral:misc_RNA from 1 species
GCAAACUUGGUCAUUUAGAGGAAGUAAAAGUCGUAACAAGGUUUCCGUAGGUGAACCUGCGGAAGGAUCAUUAAAAAAUGGAUCGAGGAAAAAAAAACAACCUUGUGCAAUUAUUGAAAGUUAAUCUUUGGGAGAUUGAGGAAAGAUUUUCUUUCUCGUCUUCCAAAGGUGUUUGAAUAUACAAAACUUUUUUAAAUGUCUUAAUAAUGAAAAAUCAUUAAUAUAAUAAAAACAACUUUCAACAACGGAUCUCUUGGCUCUCGCAUCGAUGAAGAACGCAGC